rnacentral:rRNA from 1 species
GAUAAACACUGACCGAAUGCUUAACACAUGCAAGUCUAUGACAUGGCGGACGGGUGAGUAACGCGUAAAGAACUUGCCCUUUAGACUGGGAUAACAGAGGCACACAUCUCAUAAUACAGGAUACUAAAGGAGAGCUUUACGUCCGAUUGGCUAGUUGAUAAGGUAAGAGCUUACCAAGGCGAUGAUAGGUAGCCGGCCUGAGAGGGUGGACGGCCACAAGGGGACUGAGAUACGGCCCUUACUCCUACGGGAGGCAGCAGUGGGGAAUAUUGGACAAUGGAGGGAACUCUGAUCCAGCAAUUCGGUGUGUGUGAAGAAGGUUUUAGGACUGUAAAACACUUUUAGUAGGGAAGCGGUACCUACAGAAGAAGCAACGGCUAAAUACGUGCCAGCAGCCGCGGUAAUAC